GCAAGGGGGUCCGAAGGGGAAGGCCGCAGACGAAAGGGGCAGACGCGCGGAGCAAAGAAGGUGGCGCGCGCGUCGCUCGCGUCCCGUACUCGGUUAGGCGGGGCCGGGCACGUCGGUCGGGUUGUGUUGUUGCCGGCGGUGGAAAGCAAAAGGGUCGCGGUGGGUCGGUUCGGUCGGAAACUGGUGGCCAAGGGUGAGGUUGGAAGAAGGGAAGAAGAGGGACACAUGUCCGGUCCCUCUCGAACUCGGAACUCGAGGUGCUAUUGGAGUCCCUAGGUCGGUCGUAACCUGCCCGCGUUGCGUUACCGCCUCGACGACGCUCGCCGGCUAAAGAAACUGGACGCGCGCCGUCGCGGCAAGCACCGCCGCCGCCACCGCGAGAUGAAGGACCGACUCGUCGACAGGAUGGAGGCGUUCUUUCCGGGGGACGGUCCGGGCAGCGAGCAGCACGGCAAGGAGCCGUCGCGGCACGCGUACUAGGCGCUGGGGUGCCCCAAGACCCUGCACGUCCGGCGCGCCCGGUCCCUCAGGCCGCGGCCCGAGCGGCGCCUGAAGGAGAAGCCGGCGAAGUAGCAGAAGUAGGCGCUGAGGCUCGACAGGGUGGCGCAGAAGCGGUUGCAGGCAGGGCUGCGGAAGGUGGAGUAGCCGGUGGGGAAGCCGUUCUUCGAGAAGCCGCUGGUGUUGGAGUAGAUGUACAAGCCGCUCCUGGUGUUCCUGGACGCGGCGGCCUAGUGCGGGUUGAAGUGCGGCGCGCGCGAGAGGUGGAUGCGGCGGUAGGUCGUCGCGCAGUAGGACCGAGUGGAGGCCUCCACCGAGCUGGUCUCGCGGCGGUGGCCGCUCCGGUACGGGUAUGCCCACGGGACGGCGCUGUACUUGGACCUCUGCAGCGUCUGCCACAAGCACCCGAGGAUGGAGUGGCUCUUCCGCUCCCUCUCCAAGCGGUUCCUGAUGCGGGAGAAGUUGGAGCCGGAGUACUGGCAGGGGCAACUGGACGGGCCCAAGCGCAAGGCCGCGCGCUCCGACCGGCACCGCGCCGAACACGCGUGCGAGCCUCUCACGCGCGCCUUCUCGUUCCGCGCGUACGCGCGGCCGCCGCUCGGCCUCACGAACCACCUGAUGACCUACGUCCUCUGCGACGCCCUCUACCUGCUCCGGCGUCGCCGCCCCGCCGGCGGCGACCGCGUGUGGCUGCUGCUCCUCAAACCCCCGAAGGAGAAGCUGAAGGACAAGCGGCGGGUCCUGCGCAGGUGUAGGAGCGAGACGACCCGUCAGAGGCGGGACCUGAGGGUGGGCCUGCACGAGCGGGCGCACGCGCGGCUCCACCGGUGCCAGACCAGCGGCCUCAGGCCGUUCGGGUAGUGGCGGCUCUUCUAGGUCCGCUACUUCAUGUGGGUCCGCCACCGCGCCCUCCACCACGCGAUGGCGGGCGGCCGCUGCGACCACUGCGUGCAGCGGCCGCUCGGCAAGGUCGACUGCCUCACCAUGUGCCACGGGUUCCCCCGGUAGCACAAGGGCAGCCACAUGCUCAGCAGCAAGGUCCCCAAGUGGAGCGGCCUGCGCAAGCUGGGCCUCGCGAAGAAGAGCCUCCGCGCGUCCCUCCUGCACCGAACGUUCGCGUUGAAGGACCGGAAGCCGCGGCCGCGGGUGGUCACGCAGCCCGUCGCCAUGCGGGACUUGGUGGAGCACGACAAGGACCGCGACAAGCACUGGCAGCGGCUGAAGGCCGCCCUGUCCUGCCGGCCCACGCUGCUCGGCCACAUGUACGGCUGGUAGCACGGGUCCCUACCGACGCGGCACAUGUACCUCGUCGCGACACUGUGCAAGGGUAGCAAGACUCGACCAGGCCGAAGGAACAGAACAGGGGAAGCGGGUGUCUAAAGGAGACAGAGAGCAGGGAAGGAGUAAGCAAAUGCAAAAGAUAAGUAGACCAGUACAGUUACACUACUAACAACAGAGCGGGCCCAACCAGGUAAGUAGUUAAAUAAUAAAACAAACAGUAACCAAACGACCGGCCGACCGGCGUACGCACUACACGACUAUAACAUAACCCCAAUUUAACCGGUACAGACUUGAGACUUUACCUUAACGUGCUAACC
rnacentral:rRNA from 1 species